rfam:Schistosoma haematobium scaffold1367_3, whole genome shotgun sequence.
AUCCAGUUGAAGAAUCCCAAAUAGGACGAAACGCGCGUCAAACUGGAU